UGGGGAAUAUUGCACAAUGGGGGGAACCCUGAUGCAGCCAUGCCGCGUGAAUGAAGAAGGCCUUCGGGUUGUAAAGUUCUUUCGGUGAUGAGGAAGGCAGCUACUUUAAUAGAGUAGUUGAUUGACGUUAGUCACAGAAGAAGCACCGGCUAACUCCGUGCCAGCAGCCGCGGUAAUACGGAGGGUGCGAGCGUUAAUCGGAAUAACUGGGCGUAAAGGGCACGCAGGCGGUGAUUUAAGUGAGAUGUGAAAGCCCCGGGCUUAACCUGGGAAUUGCAUUUCAUACUGGGUCGCUAGAGUACUUUAGGGAGGGGUAGAAUUCCACGUGUAGCGGUGAAAUGCGUAGAGAUGUGGAGGAAUACCGAAGGCGAAGGCAGCCCCUUGGGAAUGUACUGACGCUCAUGUGCGAAAGCGUGGGGAGC
rnacentral:rRNA from 1 species